AUAUGCAAGCUCACUUAAGACAUUCAAGGAGGUCCGGAUCCUUUCCUCACUGCCCAGGCCCUGGCCCACCCCUCCCUUUAACCGUCAGGGUCCGCACUACCUGGGAAGCCCCACACCCUCCAAAGAUGAGCUAGGUGCGCCAGACGCAUGCUUCUCUGCUCCGCUGGCUCCGAAGAACCAGAUCUGAGGCCAAGAUAAAACCCGAUUCCUGGUGUCCGACCCCCUAACAUUAGAAGUCGAGAGAUGAAGGGAAAACUCGGAAGUCAGAGCCAUGGAUUCAAACCGGCACUGGAAAAUGCCCCGGGACAGUUCGUGCUGAGCGCCUUAGCCACAGGAAACAUUUUCCUGGGCAUCUAAAUCUAUUGUGGACCUGAGGCACUGUGCUUACAGGGCCUACUGGUUUUCACUGUAUGAGACCGAGAAUGGAUUAUGGCAGUUCCUCUUACCUCCGCUGCGUACUUGACUCCAUCCACGGUGUGCUCAGAGCCAUGAUCAUCCGAAGAGCCCCAGUGAAGAUGAAACUGGCGAAGUCGGUAAGGUCCAGGGAGAGGACCCCCUCUCAGCACUGUGAUUCAGAUAAGCUUGGUCAAC
rnacentral:antisense_RNA from 1 species